AGUGAACGCUGGCGGUAGGCCUAACACAUGCAAGUCGAACGGCAGCACAGUAAGAGCUUGCUCUUACGGGUGGCGGGUGGCGGACGGGUGAGGAGUACAUCGGAAUCUACUUUUUCGUGGGGGAUAACGUAGGGAAACUUACGCUAAUACCGCAUACGACCUACGGGUGAAAGCAGGGGAUCUUCGGACCUUGCGCGAUUGAAUGAGCCGAUGUCGGAUUAGCUAGUUGGCGGGGUAAAGGCCCACCAAGGCGACGAUCCGUAGCUGGUCUGAGAGGAUGAUCAGCCACACUGGAACUGAGACACGGUCCAGACUCCUACGGGAGGCAGCAGUGGGGAAUAUUGGACAAUGGGCGCAAGCCUGAUCCAGCCAUACCGCGUGGGUGAAGAAGGCCUUCGGGUUGUAAAGCCCUUUUGUUGGGAAAGAAAAGCAGCAGGUUAAUACCCCGCUGUUCUGACGGUACCCAAAGAAUAAGCACCGGCUAACUUCGUG
rnacentral:rRNA from 1 species